AGUGAACGCUGGCGGUAGGCCUAACACAUGCAAGUCGAACGGCAGCACAGUAAGAGCUUGCUCUUACGGGUGGCGAGUGGCGGACGGGUGAGGAAUACAUCGGAAUCUACUUUUUCGUGGGGGAUAACGUAGGGAAACUUACGCUAAUACCACAUACGACCUACGGGUGAAAGCAGGGGAUCUUCGGACCUUGCGCGAUUGAAUGAGCCGAUGUCGGAUUAGCUAGUUGGCGGGGUAAAGGCCCACCAAGGCGACGAUCCGUAGCUGGUCUGAGAGGAUGAUCAGCCACACUGGAACUGAGACACGGUCCAGACUCCUACGGGAGGCAGCAGUGGGGAAUAUUGGACAAUGGGCGCAAGCCUGAUCCAGCCAUACCGCGUGGGUGAAGAAGGCCUUCGGGUUGUAAAGCCCUUUUGUUGGGAAAGAAAAGCAGCAGGUUAAUACCCCGCUGUUCUGACGGUACCCAAGGAAUAAGCACCGGCUAACUUCGUG
rnacentral:rRNA from 1 species